rnacentral:misc_RNA from 1 species
GAUGAAGAACGCAGCGAAAUGCGAUACUUGGUUUGAAUUGCAGAAUCCCGUGAACCAUCGAGUCUUUGAACGCAAGUUGCGCCCGAAGCCACUAGGCCGAGGGCACGCCUGCCUGGGCGUCACACGCCGUUGCCCCCCCAUCUACUCCUUCGGGAUUGCGGGGGGGCGGAUGAUGGCCUCCCGUGCGCCUAGCCGCGCGGUUGGCAUAAAUACCAAGUCCUCGGCGACGCACGCCACGACAAUCGGUGGUUGCGAAACCUCGGUUGCCCGUCGUGUGCGUUCGUCGCGCAUCGAGGGCUCGAAAAAAUGCUCGGCUCCGGCUGGGCUUUCAACGCGACCCCAGGUCAGGCGGGGUUACCCGCUGAAUUUAAGCAUAUCAAUAAGCGGAGGA